CGCUGACGAGGCGGCCAGGUUCCAGAGGUCACUGCUGCAGGACGGUAAGCCCCUGGCAAUUGUUAAAACGAUCGAUGCAGCCACAGCCCUUGGCCUGCCGGUUCCUUGCUCCCAGACGUCAGGGACAUGUAGCCGGGGUGCCCCAGAGCCCCUCAAGGAUUCUCCCACUACCAAGCAAGCCAGAGCUCCACACCCAACAGGAGAGACACAGCCAUGGAUACCUCAGCCUGACACUCUGCUAAGAAGACCCCUAGGCUGGUCGCAGUGGCUCAGCACUUUGGAAGGCCGAGGUGGGCGGAUCGCUUGAGGCCAGGAGUUCAAGACCAGCUUGAGGCCAGGAGUUCAAGACCAUCUUAACAUACUGAAACCCUGUCUCUACUGAAAAUACAAAAAUUAGCCAGGUGUGGUGGUGCAUGCCUGUAAUCCCAGCUACUCAGGAGGCUGAGGCCGGAGAAUCACUUGAAACUGGGAGGCAGAGGUUGCCAUGAGCCGAGAUUGCACCACUGCACUCCAGCCUGGGUGAUAGAGUGAGA
rnacentral:lncRNA from 10 species